CAGGCUUAACACAUGCAAGUCGAGGGGCAGCAUAGUCUUAGCUUGCUAAGGCCGAUGGCGACCGGCGCAUGGGUGAGUAACACGUAUCCAACCUGCCGUCUACUCUUGGACAGCCUUCUGAAAGGAAGAUUAAUACAAGAUGGCAUCAUGAGUCCGCAUGUUCACAUGAUUAAAGGUAUUCCGGUAGACGAUGGGGAUGCGUUCCAUUAGAUAGUAGGCGGGGUAACGGCCCACCUAGUCUUCGAUGGAUAGGGGUUCUGAGAGGAAGGUCCCCCACAUUGGAACUGAGACACGGUCCAAACUCCUACGGGAGGCAGCAGUGAGGAAUAUUGGUCAAUGGGCGAGAGCCUGAACCAGCCAAGUAGCGUGAAGGAUGACUGCCCUAUGGGUUGUAAACUUCUUUUAUAAAGGAAUAAAGUCGGGUAUGGAUACCCGUUUGCAUGUACUUUAUGAAUAAGGAUUGGCUAACUCCGUGCCAGCAGCCGCGGUAAUACGGAGGAUCCGAGCGUUAUCCGGAUUUAUUGGGUUUAAAGGGAGCGUAGAUGGAUGUUUAAGUCAGUUGUGAAAGUUUGCGGCUCAACCGUAAAAUUGCAGUUGAUACUGGAUAUCUUGAGUGCAGUUGAGGCAGGCGGAAUUCGUGGUGUAGCGGUGAAAUGCUUAGAUAUCACGAAGAACUCCGAUUGCGAAGGCAGCCUGCUAAGCUGCAACUGACAUUGAGGCUCGAAAGUGUGGGUAUCAAACAGGAUUAGAUACCCUGGUAGUCCACACGGUAAACGAUGAAUACUCGCUGUUUGCGAUAUACUGCAAGCGGCCAAGCGAAAGCGUUAAGUAUUCCACCUGGGGAGUACGCCGGCAACGGUGAAACUCAAAGGAAUUGACGGGGGCCCGCACAAGCGGAGGAACAUGUGGUUUAAUUCGAUGAUACGCGAGGAACCUUACCCGGGCUUAAAUUGCAGAUGAAUUACGGUGAAAGCCGUAAGCCGCAAGGCAUCUGUGAAGGUGCUGCAUGGUUGUCGUCAGCUCGUGCCGUGAGGUGUCGGCUUAAGUGCCAUAACGAGCGCAACCCUUGUUGUCAGUUACUAACAGGUUCCGCUGAGGACUCUGACAAGACUGCCAUCGUAAGAUGUGAGGAAGGUGGGGAUGACGUCAAAUCAGCACGGCCCUUACGUCCGGGGCUACACACGUGUUACAAUGGGGGGUACAGAGGGCCGCUACCACGCGAGUGGAUGCCAAUCCCCAAAACCUCUCUCAGUUCGGACUGGAGUCUGCAACCCGACUCCACGAAGCUGGAUUCGCUAGUAAUCGCGCAUCAGCCACGGCGCGGUGAAUACGUUCCCGGGCCUUGUACACACCGCCCGUCAAGCCAUGGGAGCCGGGGGUACCUGAAGUGCGUAACCGCGAGGAGCGCCCUAGGGUAAAACUGGUGACUGGGGC
rnacentral:rRNA from 1 species